CGUAGCUCAGUUGGUAGAGCACCUGACUUUUAAUCAGGUUGUCGUUGGUUCGAAACCAACCGG
rnacentral:tRNA from 1 species